AGAAGCACUCUAGCUACAGAUUAGGUAGGUUGUGUGUGUGUUUUUUCCUUUGUGUAUAUUUGGGGGACUUUGAUUCCUGGGUUUGUGUUCGGCUAUUGGAAACUUUUCUAACCUAUCAUAAGCCCUGACCUAAGCAGCAAAUUUUCAUGCAAAUAGCAGCAUGGAAAGGAAGAACUGAGGUGUUCAACAGGCAAAUAAUGUAUUUCCAGUCUCUUUUAAAUGAUUUCUUACAAAUCUCUAGCAGGUUCUGGGCAUUUGUAACUGGUCCCUUGCAUUGUACCUUUAGGAUGUUUUUUAAAAUAGUGCUUAGCUUGCUUUUUAUAUUUUUAGUUUAUAAUAACACAUGAUCCUAAAAGGAAAAGCUAUCAUAAUCUUGUAAACUGAAAAAGUUAGCGAAUAAAGACUUUGAUAUUAAAAAUAUAGCCUAUAGCUUAUAUAUUAUAUAUGCAGAGCUCCAAUAAUUAGCACAUUCAACUGUUGAAUUCACCAUCACGGUUUCAUUAGUAUUGCAAGCUAAAAAUUUUAUCUACUAGUUAAGUAUAAAGAAAAUUCCAAAAUAAUAACCUCAUAAUGUAGCAUAGUAAGUGAUAGCAUAGACUUUAGAGCCAAACUGCUUGAGUUCCAAUCCUGGCAUUUAUUAGCUGUGUAAUUUUGGGCAAGUUACUUAAACUGUCUAUGACUUUAUUUCCCCUCUAUAGAAUGAUGACAAGAGUAAUACCUUCCUAGUGAAGAUGACUUUUAUUUCAGGACUAUAUUAAGUUUCCCAACUUCUGUCAUGAUAUAGUCCAAAGAGAACCUGGACCACGCAGACAUCAAACAGAACAUGACACUGACCCAUUCUAUCAGUGACGUUGUGCUGAUUGCACAGGACAGAUGAGAGGCUCGUAUACUAGAAGUCUUGAUGAAGAAAAAUUGUGCCCCAGCAAGGAUUAUACCCAGAGC
rnacentral:lncRNA from 1 species